rnacentral:rRNA from 1 species
UACGUAGGGAGCAAGCGUUGUCCGGAUUUAUUGGGCGUAAAGCGCACGCAGGCGGUUUAGUCAGUCUCUACUGACAGUGUCCGGCUCAACCGGGCAAGUGGUAGGGAAACUGCUAAACUUGAGGGCUUCAGAGGGAUGGGGAACUCCAGGUGGAGUGGUGAAAUGCGUAGAUAUCGGGAGGAACACCAGUGGCGAAGGCGGUUGCCUGGGGCUGUGCUGACGCUGAUGCGCGAAAGCGUGGGGAGCGAUCCGG